UACAGAGGUCCCAAGCGUUGUUCGGAUUCACUGGGCGUAAAGGGUGCGUAGGUGGUGAGGUAAGUCGGAUGUGAAAGCUCCGAGCUCAACUCGGAAAUGGCAUUGGAAACUACCUUGCUGGAGGGUUUGAGGGGGGACUGGAAUACUUGGUGUAGCAGUGAAAUGCGUAGAUAUCAAGUAGAACACCAGUGGCGAAGGCGAGUCCCUGGAAAACACCUGACACUGAGGCACGAAAGCUAGGGGAGCAAACGGG
rnacentral:rRNA from 1 species